CCAUGGCUGGUACAAAGCUGACUGCCCAAAAAUCAAUUGGUGGUAAAGAACCCAGGAAGCAAUCCCAGCACUUUGGGAGGCCGAGGCGGGUGGAUCACGAGGUCAGGAGUUCAAGACCAGCCUGGCCAAGAUGGUGAAACCCUGUCCCUAGUUAAAAUACAAAAAAAAAAAAAAAAAAAAAAUAGCUGAGCGCGGUGGCAGGCGCCUGGAGUCCCAGCUACUCGGGAGGCCGAGGCAGGAGACUCGCUUGAACCUGGGGGGCGGAGGUUGCAGUGAGCGAAGAUCGCGCCACUGCACUCCAGCCUGGGCGACAGAGUGAGACUCCGUCUCAAACAAAAAAAAAAAAAAAACAAAAAGCAAAAAAAAACAAACAAAAAAAACUCCAGGAAGCAACUAGCUACAAACGCCGCAAGAGUGCGCCCUCUACUGGACGGGUGAAGAAACCUCAUCAUUACAGACCUGGUACUGUGGCACUCGUGAAAUUAGACGUUAUCAGAAGUCCACUGAACUUCUGAUUCGCAAACUUCCCUUCCAGUGUCUGGUGCGAGAAAUUGCUCAGGACUUUAAAACAGAUAUGCACUUCCAGAGUGCAGCUGUUGGUGCUUUGCAGGAGGCAAGUGAGGCCUACCUGGUUGGUCUUUUUGAAGACACCAACCUGUGUGCUAUCCAUGCCGAACAUGUAACAAUUAUGCCAAAAGACAUCCAGC
rnacentral:lncRNA from 1 species